UACGUAUGGAUCAAGCGUUAUCCGGAUUUACUGGGUGUAAAGGGAGCGUAGACGGUCUGCCAAGUCUGAUGUGAAAGGUGAGGGCUCAACCCUUAAACUGCAUUGGAAACUGGUGAACUUGAGUGUCGGAGAGAUAAGUGGAAUUCCUAGUGUAGCGGUGAAGUGCGUAGAUAUUAGGAGGAACACCAGCGGCGAAGGCGGCUUACUGGACGAUAACUGACGUUGAGGCUCGAAAGCGUGGGGAGCAAAC
rnacentral:rRNA from 1 species